CCGACGGUGAGGGGCGAAAGCUGGGGAGCAAACCGGAUUAGAUACCCGGGUAGUCCCAGCCGUAAACGAUGCUCGCUAGGUGUCUGGGAUGGUGCGACCGUUUCAGGUGCCGCAGGGAAGCCGUGAAGCGAGCCACCUGGGAAGUACGGCCGCAAGGCUGAAACUUAAAGGAAUUGGCGGGGGAGCACUACAACGGGUGGAGCCUGCGGUUUAAUUGGACUCAACGCCGGAAAACUCACCUGGGGCG
rnacentral:rRNA from 1 species